UUUGGCGCCCACCAAGCAAAUUCCCUCUCACACUGUUAAUGGAAACCCUCUCAAAACCCUACAUUCACCCCUUCCCUCCAAACCCCCAUCAUUUCAUGACCCCGCCACUCGCCGCCAAAUUUCCUCCGCCGCUGCUCCGCAUCGCAUCCGCAACCUUCCGACGUGUCGCCGCCGCUCAAAUCCACCUCCCAGAAACUACACUUCCCGAACCCUCAACCUCAAAUUCGACACCCAAAGUUCCCCCCAGGGCUAGUAAAAUUAUAGAUGCCCAGCAACUUAAAUUAAACUGGCUCGACUCCCUCUCUUGCCCUUUUUUGGAUGAGAAUGAAAAUAAAUGCUUGGGAAGCUCUGAUUUUAGCAAUGUCGGAUCCGAACCAUCCGGUUGGGUCAUGGGUAUUGACCCGGAUAUUUCUGGAGCCAUGGCCCUGCUAAAACCUAAUGAUUCUCCUCAGGUGUUGGUUGUUAAUUUUAUGGGCUAUUAAUUGAUCAAAUAUGGUACUACUGGCGACGUUUUUGCUGUAUAGUGACUAAAAGAACUUGCAUUGAUUAAGAAUUUUGUUCAUGUAAUGCAAUAUUAGACCAUCUCGUGUUAGAUUUUCUAUUUUUUAAUUUUUUGCACGAAUUGGAGGACAUAAAUAUUGGCCCAUGUCAUUUAUAUGUUCACCAACAAGGAUGAGUACAGAGUUGUAUCUUGCAUGGCAAUUUUUUCUUGCUGACAAGGUUUUAUUUUGGCUAAGAAACUGCAAUGUACUGUGAGUGAGAUUUCAAUUAUAACUUUUGAUAAUCAUUUUGGUUGAAAAGACGGUCUAUUCUUAGAAGAAAUAAAGAUAUGAGUAGAUACAAAAUGUCCUCGCUUAGAAAAACUAUUGGGAAGGGACCAUAGAUUUCCAAAUGCAAGACUUGAGCAGGAAUGAAGAAAAGAAAGGAAAGGCUUGCAUGAGCACACCAGAUCAAUAAAGUUUCAAACCUUCUAGCAAAUUGAUCAUGUAUAUAAGAUCCUCUGCCUACUGUCUGCAAAGAGAGAGCGAGAGAGGAAAUUGGUGCAUCAUGAUUACAGGAAAGAGUACGAAUGAGGAUAAGCCAGUGAAACAAACACGUAUUUUCCGUACAAGGAUCCUCCAAAAAAUAAACAUUAGAACCAUUGUCUAUCCUGAGGCGUUACAGAGGAAGAUAUGGAGAUUUGAGAACUUAAUUGAGAAAUGAACUUCUUCGGGCUAGUAUAAGCAGCAUUAGAGGUGAUUCCAGCACUCUAUCCUCUUGGUUGUAGAGCUUGUCUACUUCUUAAAAGUUUUUAAGCUUGUUUGGCACUGGUUUUUCUUUUUUUCUUUUUUUUUGAUAGGUGUUUGGCACUGGUUUUUCAAGUGAAAAAUGAUUUUUUUUUUUUUGGAGAAUGUGUAAUUGACAGGUGGGGAGAAGUUGUGGGUCCACAGAAUGUGUGGUUGAAAAUGAUUUUGAAAAAGAAUGAUUUUAGAAAAUUAUGUGCCAAACUAGCCUCUAAUCUGGUCUGUCUAUUUUUAUUCACUUUGCCCACUGACGGUUUCGGUUAAGGGAAUUUAUCGUCAAAGAACAUGGCUCAUUGGAAUCUAACUCCCUUUGGCUCAUAAUUUCUCAUAUAACUAUGGCAUUUGGGUUUGUGCAACGUGCAUUGAGAGUUGGAAGUUUCUUGGUUCCUUCCAAGACUCAACCUUUGUUUUUGAAAGUUUUGGACAGUUGGGCCAUUAAAAAUACAAUAUUGGAGAGGUAGGAUUAAUAAUGUUGAAUGAAGAUUAUGAAUCAUGCUAUGUUCUUUGACAGUUGUGCAUUUUUAUCUUUCUGGUUGGAGAAGGGUUUUAUUAUCCAAGUUUAUAAUAUAGACGGAACAAUAUCAUACAGUGUAACAGACCAUGCCUUCCUCUGUAGUGUGCUGAACACAUCCUUUUAGCAUUUAUCUUUUCUUUCCUCCAAUGGCCAACUUAUAUGCUUAUUUUCAGUUUGAUCCAUCAGAUAUCAACAUGGUAUUUUUCAAAUUUUAAAUGAUAGAUUGCCAAGUCCUAACCUGUAAUGAACGUUAAUGCCAGAAUAUUAAUAAUCAUAUAUGAAAAAGUUGAGUAAAGUCAGGGUAAUAUAAAUGUGACCAAGCAAUCCGCUUCAUAUAAAAUUAAAAUUGUAUGCUCCCCAGGGCACACCCAAGUUGGCGGAACAAUCACAUUGGGGGGCUCUGAAACCAAGCGUGGGGAGUUCGAUUCCUGGUGGGAACCUUUGAUCCAAUAAAGGAGGAAUUAUUGGUGGAUUAAUCACUAUGGAGGAGGCUCCCUUUGGGGAAGGAGUAAAAGCCAUGUGGGAACCUGAGAACCAAUAAGGGCACAUCCUGCGAUUUACCUUCCUGAGCAGCUGAGGGGCCGGAGGUUCAAGGACAAGGAUAUAGUCUGGCGCAAGUUGGGACGCCUCGUUAAAAAAAAAAAAAAAAAUUGUAUUGUGGGAUUAAAAAUGCUUCGAAAUUUGUACUUUGUAAGUACAAUCUUGUACUCUGUGCUACAAUCAUCCAUUUAUUGUACUACAAUAGGUGAUUGUACCGUGUGAAAAAAAUUCUAAAUAAUUUUAUAUAAUUUAUUGUGCUGGUGGAUGAGUAGUAGGACUUAUCCUCAUUGGAAAUUCUUCAUUCGAUGCCCAAUUCAAUUGAAAUUAAUUUUAAAAUUAGGUGUACUCCCUAUUUCUUUUUUUCUUAAACAUAGCAAUUGAACAUUUCUAUCUUAAACUAUUUGAAUUGAAAAAGAAUCGAAUAAAAUUAGUAACUCCCACUUCAUUCUACUGGUAUAUAUAUUUUUAGUUUUGAGCUUUAGAUUUAAAAACUAGAUGAUUCUAUUCCACUUUUGAAUUGAAUCGAACUAAUCAAGUCAACUUGAUUCUAGUUACAAUUUUGCUAGUUUUCAGUUUCAAAAUCGAAAACCAAGUGAUUUUAUUCCACUUCUCAAUUCUAGCUACGUAACCAAAUAUAAUUGAUAAUUUCUUUUUAACAUUGCCAAUGAAAAUCGAUUCAGUCUGAUUCUUAAGGAACUCGUAAUAAAUUCGGUGCCUACCUCUACACGCAAAGCAAAAGAUUUAACUUGUUGCAAUGAGAUAGUUUCUCCAAUUUUAUUGUAGCAGCUAUUUAUUCAUCAAUUUAUUGUAAAACAAAAAAUAAAAUAGUGCUAUAAUUAUUGUGAAUGAAACUUUAAUUUAUUGAGUUUUAUUAGAAUUUUCAAAUAUGUAAAUUACAAUAGAGUAGAACGAGUUACUCAAAUACAUUGAAAUGUGUUACGAGAUUAAAAGAAUGAAGAACCUAGGAGGGUAUAUGCCAUCAACAAAUUUUUUUAUUAAUAGAUAGUAAGAGUAAUUUGACAUCCAAUAAUUUGGUCACAACAAUUUACAGUGGGAUCGUAACUUAAGCAUAAAAGGUAUGUGAAAAUGAUUUGAUUUAACUAGCAUAUGGUUCGAUUUACAAGAGAUUUGAACCAAAUCAAUUUCUAUCGAGAAAAGGUAAACACAGAACCACCGGUAUUAUGGAGAAAAAAAAAUGGAAGAAGAAGAAUUGAACUGAUAAGUUUCAAUUUGAUUCCAUUUACUAAGAAAAAUUUUUAAUGACGUGCUAUUUAGCCCCGUUUAAUAGUGAUUUUAAUCUAAGUUUUAAUUUAAGUCAAAAUCAACGAUUAAUUUUAAUCACAUAGGUCAUGAAAUCCACAAUUUUUCAAUCACAGGAUCCAUCAAUUUUUAUCAAAAUCUACUAAAAAGUUGAUUUUAAUCCUCACUGAAUAGGGGCUAAAUUUCAAUCUGGUUACAUGAGUCAACUUUUGGAGUAUGGUAAUUACAAAUGGAAUCUAGUCAAUGAGAGCAAUAACUCAAGUAGAAAUCAGCAAUUCAACCCCAAAUUAGUAGAUCGUGAACGUGAGGGCUAUUUUGAUGGGAUAAACAGGGGGAAAAAAUGAAAAUUUUGAUUUUCUGUUGAAUGAAGGAGAUUGAGUGAGACAUGACUCAAAUUAGUUUGUUAGAGGGUUUACAUUUUUGCAAUUUUAGUGUGCACCAAAUCACGAAUUUAUUAUUUUUUAAGAAAGAGCAAAACUGAAUAAAUUUUGGUUAAUCAGACCGGAACCAACUGGUUCCCCAAAAAAAGUUACACCGUAAACAAUAAAUAAUUCAAGUCCAAUGCGAGACGUAAAGGGUUAUAUCUUGUUCGAUAGCUAUUAAAAUCAAAUUUUUAGUAAAUUCUGAUAAAAAUUGAUGGACGUUGUAGUUAAGAUCCUAUGAUUGAUAUGAGUGGUUAAAAAUUAAUUGUUGACUUGAUUUAAAUUUUUAUAAGGUGUUUCAGCAAUACCUAAUUGGGGGCUACAUUUGGCGAGAGAUUUUUCUAAUUGACCUAUCACUAUUCCUUUUUGUUGAAAGGUCUAUAUUACCCUUAAUGAAAAUAUUCUUUCCAUAUUGCAACAUAUAUCUUAAUCUUUUAAACAUUUUAUCUUGUAUUUACCAUAUUUUGAAUAUUUGAAUAUAAUUUUAUUCUAUGAUCUUGUAAAUUGAAAUAAUCUAAAACAUAUUGUUCACAUUUAUUAUUUAAUAUAUUAUAUUCUUCAGAAGAUGCAUUCAUACUUUCUAAUUGAGAAUACAUACUUUUUAUUACUUCUAUCAUUCUUUCUAAUAAAGUAUCAAAUCCUUUAAUUGUAUAUCUUGGCAUUUAUUCAAAUGAUCAUCAAAUCAAGCAAUUAAUCCCUAUGAUUCUUUAAGAUCUUAAAAAGAUUCAUUCUAAUUUUAGCAAAAGUUUAAUAGUUUUACCUUAGGUUUGGUCUGGACUUGUAUUUUUAGAACUGAGUGAUCUUCGAGCUCUGAAUCUGUAAACUGCUUCCUUUAAUGGCCUCCUGCCUUCAUGGAAUUGUUAUUGUUUCAACUACUCGCUCUCACUGUAUCAACUUCUAAAUAAUAAAAUCCUAAACUUCUGUUAAAGAAAAACUUUUUUUUUGGCUAAAAUAAGAAUGAAACUUUUUAUCAGGUCUAUCAAGAAUCUAUGGGAAUAAAGAUUUAGAAACUUGUAUUCAUAUAAAAAAUAUUGGAGUUUUAUUUCUAUCAGAAUUUAUACAAGAUUUCUAUUUGGUAUAAAAGGAUUUUCAGAAAAACUGGUUUUUCAAACUGAGAAUGGAUUUUUAGUAGCAAUCGCUUACAACUCAGGAUUUCAAGAUAUGAUGAUCUCUAUCUAUGACAAUGCCUCUAUUUAUACAAGUCUAUGAGGCUUAAAACAUCAUUGAUUUACAUCAGCAAGGCACACUUGCCCCUCUAUUAUUUUCCUCCUUGGGCCUACAUGUUGCUUCAAUUUUUUAUCCAAAGAGCAUAUUUUCUAUUAUUGCUCUUAUCUUCAAUGUCUUCACAUGCAAUUGUAUUAUUCAUCUUUGACAAAGGUGUUCCAUAAUUGUCUUCAUUUCUUCACAUGCAGUUGGGGCACUCCUUUAGCUGGCAAUAUUCUUUUAUAGUGGUAGGACAUCCUGAAAAUUGAUGUAUAUCAAAUCUUGUAAUAUAGUCUUUUACAAUUUCUGAUUUUGCAUAUCCUCCAUUGGAUACCAACAUCCAAUUUUCAUAUUGGCACAGACACGAGAAUUUUUUAUCAAACAGAUUUUUGGCAAUGUCGUAGAUGACUUUAAUUUCAAGUGCUCUUCUAUGUCUGAUCCAUGAUUUUGUCACUNNNNNNNNNNNNNNNNNNNNNNNNNNNNNNNNNNNNNNNNNNNNNNNNNNNNNNNNNNNNNNNNNNNNNNNNNNNNNNNNNNNNNNNNNNNNNNNNNNNNNNNNNNNNNNNNNNNNNNNNNNNNNNNNNNNNNNNNNNNNNNNNNNNNNNNNNNNNNNNNNNNNNNNNNNNNNNNNNNNNNNNNNNNNNNNNNNNNNNNNNNNNNNNNNNNNNNNNNNNNNNNNNNNNNNNNNNNNNNNNNNNNNNNNNNNNNNNNNNNNNNNNNNNNNNNNNNNNNNNNNNNNNNNNNNNNNNNNNNNNNNNNNNNNNNNNNNNNNNNNNNNNNNNNNNNNNNNNNNNNNNNNNNNNNNNNNNNNNNNNNNNNNNNNNNNNNNNNNNNNNNNNNNNNNNNNNNNNNNNNNNNNNNNNNNNNNNNNNNNNNNNNNNNNNNNNNNNNNNNNNNNNNNNNNNNNNNNNNNNNNNNNNNNNNNNNNNNNNNNNNNNNNNNNNNNNNNNNNNNNNNNNNNNNNNNNNNNNNNNNNNNNGAAUUUUAUCUUCUUGGUCUAUGAUACUGAUCAAUUUGGUAUCUCUUUUAUCUCCAUGUAUCAUAAUUUUCUUGAUUGAUGAUACAGAAAUGAAAUCUCCUUUAUUAUCAGUGAGUAUGUUGUCACGUUUGGGUGCACUACUGCUUUCCCUGUUUGGUAUUGAUUUGAAAAACUCAUUUCUGAGCUCUUUGGUAUUUCUAUCUCAAACAGUAUAUCUUUUAGUUGUGCUGCAAUAGCAUCAACUUGAUUUUUGAGUUUUAUGACAUUUUUUUAUGCUCAAUAGUGAUAUUCAACAAUAUUUUUAUAUUUGAGUUGAACAUCUUUGAGAUCUGGGUUGCUCCAGAGUUUAUAUCUUCAGAUUCUUCUUUAAGAAAAUCUGUCAUUUUUUGUAUAUGUAGGAUAAAUUGGUAUAAUUCAAUGACUUUAUCUUUAUCUAUUAGCAAAUUCUAUGUUCUGCUGAGAAAAUUUGCAAGAAAAUUAUUAACUCCUUUAAUAUAGACUAUAUCAAAAUUAUAAAAUGCUAAAUAAACUUGUCAUCUAUAGAGCCUUCUGUAUUGAGGUUUUGAUGGCAAUUUACUCCUAACUAAUCCUGCAACUCGAGAAUUAUCAGUUUCAACAAUAAACUUUUUAGACAAUAAGAAUAAUGAGAACUUUUUUAUUCCUCUAAUAAUUGCUAGUAAUUCUUUUUUAUGAGUAGUAUAAUUUAUUUCUACUUGGUUAAAAGUUCUACUUGAAUAUCUACAAAUUUCAUUUAAAUCUGUUUUUAAUAUUACUGCCCAAUAUUUAUCUGAGGCAUCAGUAUUAACAAUCAAAUUAUUUUUUUCAUUCGGUAACCUUAAUUUUGGUAAAUUUUUGCAUUCUUCUUUUAAUGAUUUAAUUAUUUCUGUAUGUUUUUCAUUCCAUCAUUUAGUAUUUAUUUUUCUAAAUAAAAUUUGAAUUUUAUGUCUUUUCUUAGAAAUAUUUUCAAUAAAUCCUUCAGCAUAGUUUAAAUAUCCUAAAAAUUUUUGUAUUUGUUCUUUGGAUUCUAAUUUAUCUGGAAAACUUUCUAUCUUUUUGGAUAUAUGAGUCUGUAAUUUUAUCCCUCUUUUAUCUAUUGAUAAUCCAAGAAAAUAUAUCUUUUGUUUUUCUAUUAUAGAUUUCUUUUUAGAUAGGAUAAUUCCUUCUUUUUUAUAUUCGUUAAUAAAUUGGAUUAAAUGAUUUCUAUGCUCUUCUUUACUAUUAGAACAUAUUAAUAUAUUAUCUAUAUAAACUAUUAGAAAUUCAUUAAACUUUUUAAAUAUAUUAUUCAUUUUUCUUUGAUAUAUUUGUGGUGCAUUUUUUAGGCCAAAUGACAUGACUAACUAUUCAUAUUUUCCUUUAUAUGUGCUAAAUACAGUAUAUUGUAUAUUAUCUUCUUUCAUUUUUAUUUGCCAAAAUCCUGAUUUACAAUCAAAUUUAGAAUAAUAUUGUUUCCCUCUUACAAUAUUUAUUAACACUUCUUUAUUUGGUAGAAAGUAACCAUCAAAUUUAGUAUAUUUGUUUAAUUCUUUAUAAUUUAUAACCAUCCUAACUUUUCCUCUAACUUGUUCAGAAUGUUUCAUAACCAUAAAAGUUUGACUACUAUGGGAUCCAUUACUAUUUCUAAUAAGUUUUUGUUCUAACAAUUCUUUUAUCUGAUUUUUAAAUUCUUAUGUAUAUUCUAUAAUAUACAUCAUUGGUAUAACUCUUGUUAUAAUAUUUUCUGUUAGUGCUAUUCUGGCUUUUAGGUGAUGUGAUUUCUAAAAUAAUAAUAGAUUUUCUCUAUAUACUUUUUCUAGUUGUUCAAUGAUUUUUUCUAUAUUCAUUUCUAUUUCUGUUUUUUGAACCUUUUUAUAUAUUAUUCUUUUAUUUUUUAUUUCAUUAAUUAUAAUUGGUUUUUUCUCCCAUUUAUCAACACAUUGGGCUUGCUGAACUUUAUAAGAUUUAAAUUCUCUAAGAAUUUUUAAUAAAUAUCGACAAGGUGUUUGUAACAUUAUCAUAUAAUUAUUUUGUUUAUAAUAUUGAAAUUGUUGUAUGAAGUGAUUUCCUAAUAAUAUAUCACAUUCUAGUUUAUCAUAUUUAUAAAUUUUAUUUAUUGUUACUUGUUUACUUCCAAGAAUUAUAUUAACUUUAUCAGCACUAUUAAUUAUUUGAGUACUUUAUCCCGUAACUCCAGUUAUUUUUAUAUUACUAUUAUUAUUUCAUGAUUUUAUUAAAAAACUUUUAAAUAUUGUUAUAUCACUUCAUGUAUCUAUUAAAGUACAAGUUGUUAUAUUUGUUUCUAUUAUAAUAAUUUGUAUAUAUACAGAUAUGGAAAACUUAUCUGAUUAUUCAUCUAAUUCUUUUUAUAUAAUGUAGUUUGUCCAUUAUGAACAAUAUAUAAUCCUUCUCUUUUUAUACUAUAUCUUCUAAUCCAUUUAGAAAACUCAUUCCUAAAAGUAUAUGGAGAUUUAUUUCCAUACUCUUAUUUAUGUAACAUGGUACUAAAAGAUCUAUUUCUCCUAUUUUUAUUGGUACCUUAACUUCUAAAUCUGUUAUAUGUACUUGUCUAUCAAGAUUUAUAUAUUUAUAUGGCUCUGUUUUAUGAGUUAUUAUGCCUUUAUUUCUAAUCGAAACUAUAUGACAUUCACUAGCUCUUGUAUCUAUUAAUAUAUUUGGUCCAUUUAUAUUUUCUCUUCCAUUAUAAUAUUCUCCUUCUAUUUUCAUGUUUCCAGUAUUUCUAUACAAUUUUACCUCUUUUAUUUUGUUGAUUUAUUCUAACUGAUUUUUAUUAGGUAUUUUAAAACUUUUUGAUCUUUUAAUUAAUUUUCCAUCCUUAAAUAUGAUAUUAUUAGAAUAUUCUCCUUCAUUUAAUUUUGUUAUUUCAAGUUUAUUUUUUGUCAUACUGAAUUCAUAUUUUUCUGGAAUGAAACUUAUUUGUUUAUUUGGUUCUAUUAUUUUACUAAUUUAUUUACAUUAUUUAUGAACUUCAAUAUAUGGUUUAUUGGAAUAAAUAUUCCCAUAAUUAGAAUUAGUAAAUGUAUAUAAAGCUCUAUAUUCUAUAAUCAUAAUUUGAUCACCUGAUUGCAUGAUAUCAUCUCUACGAAGUUUAAAAUGUAGUCCUAAAAUUUCAUUAAAAUUUUUAUCUUUUAAUGAUACACAAUAUUUUGAAUAACAUGUAAACAUAAUUUUUUGAUAUGCUAAAUUUCCUUCUAUUGUUCCUACAUGACUAUUUUUUAAAUUUAUUAUUCUUCCAUCAUGUAAAGUUAUAGUUAAGGGUAAAUCUAUCCCUUCUCCAAAUAAUGAUUUAAACAUUAUUUGUAUUCCUGCUAAAUAAACAUAUUGGAUUUUUUCACUUUAUUUUUUUACUAAUCUUUGUUAAUAGUUCUUCAACUGUAUUUUUUGUUAAAAGAUUUAAUUUAUGUUGCCCAUAAGUUGUCUUUACAUCUAUGAUUUUUUCUAUUUCGUGAUAUUCAUUUAUUGCUAUUCUUUCUCUUUUUCAAAUUCUAUCAAAGACUUCCCAUUUUCCUAUUUUUAAGUCUAACGAUAAUUUUUGCAGUUUUCUAAACUUAUUAUUAUCAAAAGUGACUUUGAAUCCAUAUCCUUUUAUUCUUUCAUAUUCUUGUAUAUUUAUGUUACUAAUUUCUAUUUCUUCAAUUUUUUUAUUCAGAUCCUAAUUCAUCACUUGUUUCACUUAUAUAUACUUCUUGAUUACAACAUUCUUCAAUAUCCACUACAACAAAACUAUGAUUUCGCGAUAAGUUUUUUUGCGACAUACAAAAAGUUGUCGCAAUAAGUGACUUAACGCGACACAUUUUUAAAAUUUGUCACAAAGAUUGUGAUGAAAAAAAUAAGUAUCAAAAAUUAUAAGAUGACAUAACAAGUUGUCGUGAAAUGUGGGAAGUUGCGACAAAUAAUAAAUAAUGUCGCCAAAAAUAUGAGGGAAGUAAGGCGCCAAAAUAUUUUUGGUGGGAAAUUUAUGGCAACAAACAUUUUUUUCUUGCAACAAAAUGCUUGGGAUGCAAUAGGGUCUCCUUUUGGCGAUAAAAAAAAUAUUCGUUGCUAAAAAUUCUAUAGUUGGGGGAAAAAAGGCUACAAGAAAAUAAUUUUUUUGCAACAGACAAAAGAUAUUGCAGUUAAUUUUUUACAAUGCUCGCCCAUAUAUUGUAGACUCUAAUAUUGCCGUAGAGUUGAAGAAUACCGCAACGUGCUAUGCAUGCUGCAAAAAUCCUCAAAUGUACGUUGUUGUAAAAAAAUUUCGAUGUACUACAUCCGUUUAUUUUAUUUUAUUUUGUAACAUUAUUUACUUGAUGUCUUAACUUUUUUCUACUGUUAUUAUUAUUAUUAUCUUUUUUUGUAAUAAGUGUUUGUUUUUUCGUCUAGCUAAAUUUUAAUAUGUAAUAUAAAUUUUUAAAUUUUUUGAUUAUUUCUUAUGAAGAACAAAAUUUUUAUAAUAAAAGCUGUAUAAAAUUUCUAAAAAAAUUUAUUCCCAAAAAAUUUAAGAAAAAUGCAUUAGACUAUUAAACUUUCAAUCACAUAAUAACUUAUAAAAAAUAGAAAUACUAGACUGAACCAAUUCAUAAAGGAAAAUAAAUGUCUCAACAAUUAAAGCAAAUAAAUAAAUAAAUAAAUUAUAGUUCAUAUAUUAUUAGUAGACGUUGGCAUACUAAACAUUGUUGCUGGUUCGGCUUGUUGUGGAGACAUGUCUACUUGAUUCGAUACGAACUUAUGCAUUAGCUCCUCAAAUUGAGAAAGCCUGGCACGCAUAUCCAAUAAUUCUUGCUCCUGCUUUUGUAUUUGCUCUCGAAGGGCUAUUGAUUCAGUAUCAUGAAUUUUGCCUACCAAAAAUGAAAUGUGUAUAAUAUUUAUUUAAAUACGGGAAACAAAUAACUAUUCUACAAAAUUUUGUAAAAAUGAAUUUGUCUAUGACUUACCAAAACUCGAUCAUAUAAUUUAUUUUUCUCUUCAUUGGGUACAUCGAUCCACCUUUUGUGACAGGGUGGAGCAAAGAAUCGAACGACGUAGCCACAUUUACUAGCCAAACAUGCUUGUUGACUUCCAAUAGCUCUUCCCAAUAUUUUAGAAAUCUCCAAUGAUAUUGUUCCAACUGCACUAACGAUGUCAUAGCGCCCUUACCUCUUGUAGGACCACGUCCCUUCCUCUUCAAAGAAUGAGAAUCUAUGAAAGUAGUUACUCAAAGGAUGAGAAUAUAUAAACCAAAAAUGAGAUUCUAUCAAUUAAAUAUAUACAUUAGGAUGAUUUUAUAUCAUAAACAUAAAGAUUAAUUAUUACCGUUGGAAUUGAGGAUGUUCUCAUGUGUCAAUGUGGUUGCUUGUGAUGAAUUAAGUUGAGGCUGGGACUGAGAAAAUGGGACAGGAACUCGGAGAGGUCGAGAUAAUGGAGUAGGAACUUGAACAUUACUAGUCUUAGACAAUGAGGAAGAGAUAUUAGCUUGAAGAGUAGUUUGGGUUAAUGGACCCUUGCAUGAUGCCUUUGACGAGAAGACCUCCGAUGGUGGCUCAUAAGAUGUAGUAAAAACUCUAUUUUUCUUGCCAAUUCUUGUUUGAGAAGCCAUUAUCUACAAAGAAAAAACCAAAAAGAGAGAGAGAGAUCAUUUUUAACCAAAAAAAUGUGUCUCCAUUAUUGCUAAUUCUUGUUUGGAAAGCCAUUAUCUACCAAGAGACAAAAUUGAUAAUAAUAGCUUAUUUUAGUGGGCGGGGGGUGGGGGGGAAGAUACCAAACAGAUUGUUACUUUUUGGGUAUUUGGAGAAUAAAAUGUUCUCUCUACGAGGAUUGAAGUGACAUUAUUUCCCCCUCUAUUAAAAUUCAUCCGACCAAACAAGUAGAUCUGAAUUUGUUUGGCACAACUAUAAUGUCACUAUUAUAGUUGUGAGUAUCUAAAUUUAGAUACUUACAAAGUAUCUAAAUUUCGAAUUCGUGCAAGUUCAAUUGGAAUGGGGCCCUUAAUAUCAUUGGAGGAUAGAUUCCUAUACAACAUCAAGAAAUAUAGAAUUUAUACUUGGAGAACAUCAAUCUCCAGAUACACAACAAUGAAUACAUGCAAACGAAUUUUUUUUAAACACAGAUGUACGAGGAGCUCACAGAUACGUCAUGCUCUCCAACUUCUGAAAUACAAGGGGAAUAGUUCCAUUCAAUUUGUUACCAUGCACAUUACUGUCACCAAAUCAUUCAGCAAGUAAUCCAGCAAGGUGAAAAUUUCAUAAAAAAUGAAAAUAGAACACAAGACUACAUCAAAUGCUUACAGGCUAUUCAGAUUUGUACAAAAGCUAAGAUUAUCUGGUAUAGGCCCAUCUAAGAGGUUAUUGGUAACAUUUCGGUGACAAAGCAUUGCGACCAACUUAAAUUUUAUGAAUCUAUAAAGAUUGAUAUAGUAAAACAGUCAUAAUAAACAUAAUAUACAGGUCAAAGAAAGCCGUUGUCGAGAAGGUUCCGUAGAAAAAGAGGCAAACAUUAUUUACUUCCUCUUUCCAGUUGGAAAUGGUCGGGUCAAUCCGUAAUUGAACGGGUUGUAACCGGAUUUUUCGAAGAUUUCGGAUCUGAAACUCAUGGAAAAACAUUUUUCAUAUGUGACUAAUAAUGAUGAUAAAUUUUCUGUUUUUUUGAAAAACGUUUUUCAUAUUUAUUUUUCUAGUAAAUUAAAUUAUAUUGCAAACAAAACACCAAGCAUGUAAUAGAAAAAAAAAGGGAACACCAAAAGAUUUAUACAAUCUACACAACAAGCAAAAACUACGAAUUUCUGUAAAACAUUAGAUGAAAAAAAAGGGAUAUAAACAUACCUAGAUUGUGAAUAAGUAUAUCAGCAAUCUUUGACAAACGACCAAUGGAAAUUUGAAAUGAAUCAACAUGAAAUCAUGAAAUGCAAAUAUAUUAGAUUCAAAAACCAAAAAUAAAAAAAAAAUGAAAAUACACAAAAAGAAUCAUUAGAUUGGAGAUUGAAUGAAAAUACCUUGUCUACAGAGAACUAAAAAAUGAGAAUGUAGAGUUAAAAAAUGAGAAAGACAUCUUAUAAAAAGAUAAAGAUGUUGACGAAAAGUGGGGGAAAAAAAGAGAGGGAACUUGAAAAUUUCCCUCCAAAUACAAGAGCCAAAAUUGAAAACAAAAUCUCGUACACAAUUAAUUUAGCUACCCUUAGGAAAGAAAAGUAAAAUUUAUAUAAAAGGAUUCUUAUAGAGUCCAAAUAUAUUUGAAAAGAUAUUUAUAAAAUUGGAACAUAAUAUUUCUCUCCCCCAAAAAAGAAAAAGAAAUAUAUUAGAAGAUUAUAUCCUAAGAAAAUCAUCUACAACUCAUAGAACCGUUUUGAACAAAAAAAAGUAGGUGGACCUUUUGCUGGAAUUUAAAUUAUGGGAACCUUUUCAAGAUAAAAAAUUUUAACCAAAGAAUAAAUAUAUAAAAUAAUAGUUUUUAUGUUUAGAAAUCAAUGGCGUACAUAUGUUACCUUACUUGUAAUAAUGGUUAUAGAAAUUAAUUCAAAACCCAUGCAAUCCGUUUGGCAAAACUAUUUAUUUCAAUAAAUAUUAAUUAGUUUUUAUGUGUUUUCAUGGCGUAUAUAUGUUACCCAAAUUUCAAACUCAAGAUCUUUAUAUACUCUUGUAUGGCAAUUACUUAUUUCGUCUAAAAAUAUGAAUUGAAUAAUAUUUAAUUAAAUUUUGUUUUUUUCCCCUUUUUAUUAUGAGAAAAGGAUAUGUAUAAUGUGUUGCAAGAGUAUGUGUUCAAGCCCAUUGAUUUCGAAUCUUUGUCAUGUGCUGGCUUUGAUAGGCACAUCUUACGGUUCCAAUUAUUAUUAUUAUUAUUAUUUUUAGACAAACGAACCUAUAGUAAUUUAAGGCCUAUUAAAUAGGUCUAGUUAAUUUAAAAUUAAUGUAGAUCAUGCCCUCAAACAGUACACUCGAAGAAAUUGUACAUGAAAAUUUGGCUACUCUCGAUUCAUGAAAAUACAUACUCUAUUAAUUUAAAAAUGUAGAUCAUGCCCUCAAACGGUACACUCGAAGAAGUUGUACUUGAAAAUUACCCACCAAGAAAUUGUACCCUCAAACUCUGUUAGAUAUUUUUCAUCAUUUUGCAUGUAUUUAAUUUUUUGUGUUUGCGAAUGAUGCCAUCCGGACUAGUGUUUGCCGCUGCGCAACGGGGAUCGACCUUUAAAAUAGCCUGAAAAAUAGUCAGAUUAACGAUUAUGAAAUCCAAUAGGCAUGCAGGUCAUUUAGUCAUGUAUAAAUGCAUACAAGAGGACUAGUAUCUCGAAGAUAGACUCAAACAAUUCCAAACAAAGGCACAAAUACACUGCAUUUACCUUCCUCAACAUAAUCUUACAGAAUCCUUCAAGGGAAUCAUACAGAUGGCUACUAAUAUAGUAGCACCAAAACCAAGGUUUUCACAUCAUACAACUAUCUGUCUGAAUUGAAUUCUGUAACAAACCUUUUCGCCUUAUAUGUCAGUAAUCACUGUUGUUAAAUGUUUAAUUGCGUUAGAAAGAAACAUAAGAUCACUUCAACGCUAUUAAAAUAAAGAAAUAGAGGACAAACACACACACACACACACAAAGGCCAAAAAUAAGAAAACAAACAAGGAAAAUUACCUUCUGAUAGUGUCAGGAUCCCCAUUGGUACUAAUGGCAAAUACACAGUAGUGCAACCACAUGUCAACAGAGUAUGUAACUCCUUGAACAGCUCUUUCAUAAACCUCUGCAACUUUGUCGACCGAGCUAAGGCGUGCCUCAUGAUCAGCAUAUUUCUUCCAAUAACCAUAACAUAAUGGAAAUUCAGCUAAAAAUGCAUCAUAAACUUUUCGAAUCUUCAAAAUGUUUGCCUGCAAAUCGGAGAGAGUUAAGUCAUUUUCCAAACAGGAGUUAGAUUCCUAUUACUUCUAGCAUCUUACUCUUCUUUUUGUUCACUUAUCUACAAUAAUUGUUUUUGUCCUAAAGAUAUAUGGUAUGCUACUUCUUCUAGAAACCUGAAUACUUGCUAUUUUUCUGCUAAACUGCUAUUAUUAUUGCUGAGUUGUAUAUUUGCUAUUUUUCUAAAAAUUACUAACUACAUAUCCUUUAUGGUCUAGGCAAAUAAAGUGAUAUACAUGAUGGAUAGGAGUUGGAUGCGACUUCGUAAUAGAUUAAGUGAAGAAUAUUUAGAUGGUAUUAAUUCAUUUAUGGAGGUAGCAAAACAAUGUCUGGAUGAGAACAAUAAGGUUCGUUGUCCAUGUCGAAAUUGUCAAAAUGCAUUCUUUCGGUCACUAGAUGUGGUAGAAUCUCACUUAUACCACUUUGGAAUCUCUGUAAGUUAUGAGAGAUGGAUUUUUCAUGGAGAGGAACUUGAGAAUAAUAUAGAGGGUGUUGAAAGAAAUACAUUUGAAUUGGACGAAGAAGAAAAUGUUGAUGAGAUGAAUGAUAUGUUAGACGAUCUAUGCGCUCCCAUGUCAUCUAAAGCUAACCAAACUUGGGAGGAGGAAGAACAUGGUGGAAAUCAUAAUUUUUCGCCUCGAAGGCCUAAUAAAGAGAGUAACCAAUUUGUGGAGAUGAUAACUAAAGCCCAACGAACUUUGUUUCCUGGCUCAGAAAUGUCAUUAUUGAACUUUAUGGUGAAGUUAAUGCAUAUAAAAGUUUUGAAUCGGUGGAGUAACAAAUCUUUUAACAUGUUAUUGGAAUUACUAAAAAACGUUUUUCCAGAAGAUAUUGGAUUACCAACUUCAACAUAAGAUGCCAAGAAAAUGCUAAGUGAAUUGGGAUUGGGUUAUGAAACUAUUCAUACAUGCAAGCAUGAUUGUGUAUUAUUUGGAAAGAGCGUGAAUUUGCCAGUAGGUGCCCGGAAUGUGAUGAACCACGAUACAAACCUAAUUUUGGAAAGGGAAAGAAGGUGCCUCAAAAAGUAUUGAGAUAUUUUCCAUUGAAAAAAAGAUUACAGAGAUUAUUCAUAUCUAGACAUACCGCUAAAGAUAUGAGAUGGCAUGCAGAAGGCCGAGUUGAAGUAGAAGGUGUUUUAAGACAUCCCGCUGAUGGUGAGGCAUGGAAAGAAUUUGACAAGUUAUACCCAGAAUUUAUGCAAGAUCCUCGCAAUGUUAGGUUAGGUCUUGCAACAGAUGGCUUCAAUCCAUUUGGAAACAUGCAUAAUUCCUACAGCAUGUGGCCUGUUGUUCUAGUACAAUACAAUAUGCCGCCGUGGAAGUGCAUGAAAGAACCGUUUAUUAUGAUGUCAUUGCUAAUUCCAGGACCACAUGCACCAGGAAGAGAUAUUGAUGUUUAUUUGAGACCACUAGUAGAUGAGUUGAAAGAAUUAUUUGAGACCACUGGUCGAGAUGAUUGUCGUACAACACAAAAUAGUGGAGUAAUGGUGCCGGGAGAUGAUAACAUCAACUUUUUUAGUAUAUUGUGUGAUGUUAUUGAGUUGGUAUACGUUUUUGACUAACGCGUCACUUUGUUCCAGUGUAGUUGGCACGAUAAUAAUCCAAAGCAAAAAAGAACAAUCAUAGAUUACCAUCUUACUUCUAUCAAUGUGAAUCGUAAAUGGUACAUGGAUGAUUCCUAUAUACUUGGCAUCCAAGCACAACAAGUAUUUUAUAUGGAUGAUCUUUUGUUGGGCCCACAGUGGAAGGUAGUGGAAAAGGUACAACAUAGAGGCAUAUGGGACAUUCCAGAAAAAAAUGAUGGCAGUAGUGAGCAAGUAAUAUUUUAGGAAAAUGAAUCAUCAAAUAUUGUCUUGCCAAUACAGCAGGAAGAUCUUGGCACUCAAGUAUGCCAUAGAGGAGAUGUUGAUCUAGAUAUUAUUGAAAAUGAAGCAUUACAAAUAGAUGUGGAACACAAUAAAUAAAAAUAUGAAUAAUGUUAUAUAUGAUACUUCGGAAGAGGAAGAUGAUACAUUGAAUGAAUAUUACAGUGAAGAUGAGAAAUCUAUAGAUGGUAAAGAUGAUGAUGGUGAUAGUGAUAUUGGUAAGUAAAACAUUCUUUAUAUAUAUAUAUAUAUAUAUAUAUAUAUAUAUAGGCCUUUUUUUUUGGCGUAAUGUUUUUCUUUUCUUUUUCUUAAUGACUAUCUACAUUUUUUCCUUCCCUCUGUAGAUUCGAGUACUGACGAUGCAUCAUCUGAGAGUUGAAAAUAAUUUUAUUCACAUUUAAGGUUAGAGUAGUCAGCUACUGAAAUAUAUUGAUCACUUAUUGUGAUGGUUGUUGAUCUUGUUCUAAUAUUCAAUGUAAGAUAUUUGAAAUAUUUUCUUGAAGCUAAUAUUUCAUUAAUUACUUUCUAUAUGUACCUGUUAGACUAAAUUUGCAGAGCUUUUCUUUACAGGAAUUUUCAUUUAACCAAAGAGAGUUGGAAGCGUAUAUUGAGUCAAGAAUGUUAUUUGGGUGUCACGUGAGUUUUUUAGUUAUUUCUUCCACAUUCCUAGUUCUAUUUUUUAAUUUUCAAGUUUGUCGAAUCAUUCAAAGUAGCUCGACCUUCAAAUUACUAGUACUAUAGUUUAUUUGUAUUUGUUUUGAUUUUGGAGGUAACCAAGUUUGUAGAUAAUACCUUUAUCUAUAUUUAUUUGGUUGAUAGUGAUAUGAUUUUUUUUUAUAUCAAUUAUAUUUUAAUAAUUGUAUGUUGAAGCGUGCUCUUCAUAAAGUCACUAGUUAUUUCUAGUUAUGUUACAUUUUCAUAUAAAUGUGCACAACAAUAAUGAUUCCAUUGUGAUGAAAGAAAUCGAAAAUUGUGUGUUUAAAAUAGAAUGUCCGACAUACAUAAAUAAAAAUAGAAUCAAUUAGGCGACAUUUGUACAUCGUUGAAGCGACAAACCCUUUGUGUUGCUGACUAAAUUUAACUACGAGCACAACUUGACAUAUAAAUAAAAGUUCAUUAUCACAAGAUACUUUGCGUAAUAAUAUUAUAUGUUGUUAAAUAAAAUAUGUGACAUAUAUAAAUAAUUACGAAAUAAGUUUGGCAACAAUUAUACUCAUUGUACAAAUGAUGGUGCAACAGACCAUUCGUGUUGCAAAAUAUAUUUAAAUACAUAAAUCACUUGUUACAUAAAAUUUUGUACUACAAAUAUUGAAUAUAUUAAAAUACAUUUUGCGACACAUCAAAUACAUUGUAAAACAUAUUUCACGACAAAUAUUACUUGUUAUUGAAAAUAUAUUACUGCGUGCAUGUGGUGUUGCAAAACAAAAUAGGUAGCAAAAGUGACACAUUUAAAAGAAUAUUUGCAACAAAUAUUUUUCUCGUAAAAACAUUAUUGGAAUAAUCGUCGCAAUGAACUAUCAUGUUGCCCUUUUAUUUUUUCGCGACAUAUACACAUUGCGAUAAUAUUAUAAUUAUAACUAUCGUGUUGCUGUUUCAUAUUUUCUGCGGCAAAUAAGUAAUGUUGCGAUUUUGUUAAUGCGAUGAAUGAUCAAAAGUUGUCUCAAAAUAUAUUCGGUGACUAAACAUUCGCAACAAACAUAAUUCUCGUAAAAACUUUAUUGGAAUAUUUGUUGCGACAAACUAACUUGUCACCCUUGAAAUUUCUUGCGACAUAUAUACAUUGUGACGACAAUAUGGCUACAAAUAUUGUGUCGCCAUUUCGUAUUUUCUGCGUUACACAAAUAGUGUAGUGAUUUUGUUAAUGCGAUGAACUAUCGAAAGGUGUCGCAGAACACAUUGCGUGACUCAUAUAGAGCGACAAAACCUACAACAAACGUAUUAUCGUCGCUAAAUUACUUUUGCGACAAAAUCUCAUUUUUUGCGAGAAUAAUAUCAUUGAAUCUGCCCAAGUUAAUAAGGCUUUUUUAGUAUCUAUUUUGCAAUUUAAAUAUAAUUUCGUUCCUUCAUGAUUAAUUGGUUUAUCAUAAUUAUUAUUUAAUUCAAACCUAUCUUUAUAUUUAUUUCCUUUAGGUGGUUGUCUAUCUCUUACUUUAUCAUAGAAUUGUCUAUAUGAUUUAUUAUAUAUAGGUGCAUAACUUUCAUCCGUAUCAUGUAAUUCCCGUUUAGAAGUUCCUGUUGGAUUAGGUUCUCCUUCAAUAUUCAUUAAAACUUGGUAUUCACUUAUAUCAAUUAGGCUUAAUUGAUCAAAAUUUUCUAUUAGCAAAUCUAAUUCUUCACUCAUCUUCUUUUUCUUAUACUUUUAAUUUUUCUAAUGAUUUUUCUUUAGAUUUUUCUUCUUCUUCUAAUAUUUUUGGUAAUAUAUUAUUUCUAAAUUCAUCAUCCGCACUUUCUAUUUCUAUUACUAUAUUUUCUUUUUCUAUAUGUUUAUUUCUUAUUCGAGUCAUCUCUUUUUCUAUAAAUUUUUUAAUCUAUUUUCUUAUUUUUGUUUUUAUUAUUUUCUUUCAAUUCUCUAAUUUCAAUUUUUAAUAUAUUUAUAUCGUUUCUUGUUUCUUUUACUUCAUUUCUCAAAUCUCGUACAUCAUUUAUUAACAUUUUUAAUAAUGACUUUAAUUAUUCCAUAUAUUCACUUAUUGACAUCUUAAUUUUUUCUUAUUUCUAGAUCAUAAGUUAAUUUGCAUCUUUUAUCUUUUUUUUUUAUCUAUUAUUUUUCUAAAUUUUCUCUCAGCUGUUUCUGGAUCUACUAAUUCUUCUUUUACUAUAAUAAAAUAUCUGCUCUCAAGUCUUAAUAUUUCGCAUUUUAAUUUUAAUAAUUGUCUAUUAUUUGAUAUUCUUAUUUCUUCUGGUAUUAAUAUUAUAUUUCGUAUUUCUUCUUGUAUUUUAUCCAUUUUUAUAAGUAGUUUAUUUAAUUUUAAAUGUGUAUUAUUACUUGUACUCAUACUUUUCUUUAUAAAUUAAAUUAUUUUCUUCAUCUUCAUAUAUAUGAAUAUUUUUUUCAUAUGUAUAUAUAUCUUUUAUUUUUUAUAUUAUUAAUUUUUCUAAUAUUUGUUCCUUCAUUUCUUUAGGAAGUUUUUUAAUUAUUGUUAAAGUCAUUAUUUUUAAUCUAUUAUGAAUAUGUUUUAAAAAUAUAUAACUAACUCUUUCUUCUUCUAAAAAUCAAUAAUUAUCUAUUUUUCUUAUUUUUAUUUACAUAAUCUCUAUGACUCUGAUACCAAAUAAAAGGGGGCUACUUAGAGCGAACAAAAAUCAAAUAAAUCAAAUUUAGUAAUCAAUCAAAAUUCAAGCAGUAUUUAAUUUUUUUAAGGAUUAAAUUGAAAGGUUGCUAAUUUUCAUUAACUUAUCAUGUAAUAUUAUAAAAGAGGAUAUUUUGGAUAUCAAAAUUAGCUGGAGGCUAUUUUGGGAAAAUGACCUUCCUGGGCCAUUUAUUUCCCACAUUUGGCGCCCAACAAGCAAAUUCCCUCUCACACUGUGUUAAUGGAAACCCUCUCAAAACCCCACAUUCCCCCCUUCUCUCCAAACCCCCAUCAUUUCAUGACCCCGCCACUCGCCGCCAAAUUUCCUCUGCCGCUGCUCCGCAUCGCAUCCGCAACCUUCCGACGUUUCGCCGCCGCUCAAAUCCACCUCCCAGAAACUACACUUCCCGAACCCUCAACCUCAAAUUCGACACCCAAAGUACCUACCAGGGCUAGUAAAAUUAUAGAUGCCCAGCAACUUAAAUUAAACUGGCUUGACUCCCU
rnacentral:lncRNA from 1 species